rnacentral:rRNA from 1 species
CCCUUAGAUGUUCUGGGCCGCACGCGCGCUACACUGAUGCAUUCAACGAGUCUAAAACCUGCUCUGAUAGGGGUGGGUAAUCUUUUGAAUGUGCAUCGUGAUUGGGAUAGAUGAUUGCAAUUUUUCAUCUUCAACGAGGAAUGCCUAGUAAACGCAAGUCAUCAGCUUGCAUUGAUUACGUCCCUGCCCUUUGUACACACCGCCCGUCGCUCCUACCGAUUGAGUGCUCAGGUGAAUAAUUCGGACUGCAGCAAUGUUUGGAUCCCGAACGUUGCAGCGGAAAGUUUAGUGAACCUUAUCACUUAGAGGAAGGAGAAGUCGUAACA